rnacentral:rRNA from 1 species
AUUGAACGCUGGCGGAAUGCUUUACACAUGCAAGUCGAACGGCAGCACGGACUUCGGUCUGGUGGCGAGUGGCGAACGGGUGAGUAAUGUAUCGGAACGUGCCCAGUCGUGGGGGAUAACGUAGUGAAAAUUACGCUAAUACCGCAUACGAUCUAUGGAUGAAAGCGGGGGAUCGCAAGACGUCGCGCGAUUGGCGCGGCCGAUAUCAGAUUAGGUAGUUGGUGGGGUAAAGGCCCACCAAGCCAACGAUCUGUAGCUGGUCUGAGAGGACGACCAGCCACACUGGAACUGAGACACGGUCCAGACUCCUACGGGAGGCAGCAGUGGGGAAUUUUGGACAAUGGGCGAAAGCCUGAUCCAGCCAUUCCGCGUGCAGGAUGAAGGCCCUCGGGUUGUAGACUGCUUUUGUACAGAACGAAAAGGUUUCUACUAAUACUAGGAGCUCAUGACGGUACUGUAAGAAUAAGCACCGGCUAACUACGUGCCAGCAGCCGCCGUAA